GGAAAAGAAACUAACAAGGAUUCCCCUAGUAACGGCGAGUGAAGCGGGAAGAGCUCAAAUUUGUAAUCUGGCACUUUCAGUGUCCGAGUUGUAAUCUCGAGAAGUAUUUUCCGCGCCGGACCGCACACAAGUCUGUUGGAAUACAGCGUCAUAGUGGUGAAAACCCCGUAUCUGGUGCGGAUGCCCGGUGCUUUGUGAUAUACUUUCGAAGAGUCGAGUUGUUUGGGAAUGCAGCUCAAAUUGGGUGGUAAAUUCCAUCUAAAGCUAAAUAUUGGCGAGAGACCGAUAGCGAACAAGUACCGUGAGGGAAAGAUGAAAAGCACUUUGGAAAGAGAGUUAACAGUACGUGAAAUUGUUGGAAGGGAAACGCUUGAAGUCAGACUUGCAUUUCGGAGUUCAGCCGCAAGGUGUAUUCUUCGAUUCGCAGGCCAGCAUCAGUUUUCGGGGGUGGAAAAGCGCGGUUAGAAGGUAGCAGUUUCGGCUGCGUUAUAGCUUUCCGCUGGAUUCACUUUUGGGGACUGAGGAACGCAGUGUGCUUUUAGCAAGACCCUCGGGUCUUUCACACUUAGGAUGCUGGUGGAAUGGCUU
rnacentral:rRNA from 1 species